rnacentral:rRNA from 1 species
UACGGGGGGAGCAAGCGUUGUUCGGAUUUACUGGGCGUAAAGGGCGCGUAGGCGGUGUGUCAAGUCAGGCGUGAAAGCCCCGGGCUCAACCUGGGAACCGCGCUUGAGACUGGCACGCUCGAGUUCGGGAGAGGAUGGUGGAAUUCCCAGUGUAGAGGUGAAAUUCGUAGAUAUCUGGAGGAACACCGGUGGCGAAGGCGGCAUCCUGGACCGGCAUUGACGCUGAGGCGCGAAAGCCAGGGGAGCCAAACGGG